CAUUGUGCACUGCGUAAGAAGCGGGAGAGGUAGCGAUAGUUGGAUAGUUGCAUGCUGCUUUGAUCGGUGUUUGCUUUCUGUUUGUGGUAUUAAUUUUAUUCGAAAGUCAGUACGAUGUGGGUAUUGUUUGUGGUUUUAAUUUACCGAUUGUUUUGUAGUUUUUCUAGAAUUAUUUAAGAAAUUACGUUUAUAUUACGUUUGACCACGUCCUGUAUGUCCUCAUACAGCCGACAAAAAUUUUUUAAACUAUGUAAUAAAUUUAAUAUUUUAGCUCUUAUAUUGGAAUGUUAUAUGACAUUCUUUAAACCACAUGGCAGACCAAGAUACUACAGACUAUUAUGCACUUUGUGCGAAUGAUCAAGAUGAAUUGAAAGGUCUAAAUGAAAGGCUAAUAGAAAGUAGCAUAUCUCAAUCAUUAUGUGACCUAAAUAGUAGCAAUAAUAGCAUUACAGUUGAAAAUGCAACAUCUGUUUCUCCAUUGUUAAGUCAUUAUAAAUAUCAUUGUUUCUCGCAUCAUGAUAGUCCAGUUAAUUUUUCAUCUUUACCAACGUAUCUUCCACCCAUUGGUGUAUUUUGGGAUAUAGAAAAUUGUCAUGUACCAAAGGGAAGGUCCGCCAUGGCUGUAACACAAGUAAUUAGAGAAAAAUUUUUUAAUGGUUAUAGAGAAGCAGAAUUUAUUGUAGUUUGUGAUGUCUUAAGAGAAAAUAGUCGGGUUAUGAGAGAAUUAAAUAAUGCUCAGGUUAAUUUAAUACAUGUUGCUAGAGAAUGCAAAAAUGCUGCUGAUGAAAAACUUAAACAAUCUAUUAGAAGAUUUGCUGAUAUUCAUGGAAGUCCAGCAGCUGUGAUUUUAAUAUCUGGUGAUAUUAAUUUUGCUCCUGAUCUUAGUGAUUUACGUUAUAGAAAAAAAAUUCAUGUGAUACUUUUACAUAUGAAAAAUACAUCUGAAGCAUUAAUACUAUGUGCUAAUGAGCAUUAUGAUUUCUCAGAACUUAUGGAAUCACUGCCAUCCACAACUGUACAGGUUACUGCAUAUUAUGAUCUCCUAGUUAGUAACCUUCCUGAAGAUCAGGAUAUUGUAUCUAUUAAAUGUUGUCUUAAACAAAUGUUCGAAAAUUAUGGUGGUCAAGUAAUGGAAAUUCAAUCAAAUACUGCAAUUAUACACUUUACUUCCAAACCUUUUGCAGAAAGAGCUCAGAAGCGUUUGAAUGGGAAGGUUGUCUUUGGUUCGAAAAUUUCCGUAAAAUUUCUAAAGGAGAAAGGGACUCAUUUUCAAAAAAUUCGAGGAAUUUCUAUAAACCGAAACGGUACUGUAAGUGAAUCAGAAAUUGUUACUAGUUCUCCAAGACAAAUGUAUACUGCAAGUGCUUCGUUAGCGGGUGGAAGAGCUCUUCAAUUUCCACAUUAUCAGUCAUCCAUGCCAGUUAUUGGAACAUAUUCUGGAUGGAAUGCUCAUUGUACUUCUGCUUCAACACCAGUAGGAAUGGUUCAACCUCCUGUUUUUGUUAGAAGACCAUAUCCAAAUAAUAAUAAUGUAGCUUUUAAUAGAACUUAUAAUGAACUUGCAAGAACUCAAUCUCCUUCAUUCUGGCAAGUCUCUGGUUCUCAGCAAUUUAGUCAUGUGUGGGAAGAACAGUAUAAGGUGGAAAAAACAAAAGUACUUAGUAGAAGAAUUCAUAUUCCGCAGGCUCGGGAUAAUGGCGUCGUAAAUGAUGUAGCUCCUCGAACUUCUGAAGCUUUAAGAUGUAUCAGAGGAACACACACUUCUUAUGUUCAACCUUCAGAAUGGACUGGUCAACAUCCUUCAUUAAAUGUUCCUAUAAAUUUGAAUGGAUCCACGCAUCCUCAAUCGAAUUUUAAACGUCGAAGUCCAUCUCCUAUGUAUGAUUUACAAUCACGAGAGCGAAAUCAAUGGAAUGGACAACAAAACGCGUCUGUACGUACUACUAGGACACCUUCGCCUUAUGAAAAUACAAUACAAACGAUAAAUCAACAAAGUAAUCGUACGUCACCUUAUCAUCCAAGUGAUACAGAAAGUGAAGAAGUUGAGAAAUUUUUCAAUCCAGUAAAUAAUCGCAAUGGAAUAUCAACGAACAAUGAAACAUGUACACCUAUUGAAUUGCAAGUAACUAAUUUAGACCAAAGUAUUAAUCCAAAAAAAAUGAGACAUAUGCUUGUCUCUAUUUUUAUGAAACAUGUGAUGGUUUUAAAUGUUUCCAUUUUUACACAAUCUGAUGGUAACUUUGCAGCAAGUGUCAAAGUACCUUCUUUAGCAGACGCACAAUACGCAAUUUCUCAAUUGCAUCGUCAUAAAUUAGGAUAUAAACGUAUUUUUAUAUCAUAUGCUCAUAGUGGUAGAGCAAGUCCUCAAGUUGUGCGAGCACAAAUCGUAAUGUUAUUGCAAGAAGUACCUGGCCACGAACUUCCUCUUUUUAAAUUUCGAGAAAUGUACGAGAGUCGUUUCAUGAUUUCCAUCAGUGUUUCCGAAUUGUACAAAAUGAAAGAUGUUUGUAUUAUUACGGAAGAUCCUGGUGGUAGAAUGGUUUCUCUUAAUCCAGAUCACAGAAAUACUCCAUCACCAUGUUUUAAUAAUACAACUCAGGAGGAACAAGUAGAGUUACCAUAUUGCACUAUUCAUACGUUAAAACCAUGGUCUGAUAAAGGAUGGGCUGAACAAAAAGUAGCAUCACUUCCAAAUGUAAAAAUUUCUUUAAAAGUUCUCGAACCACGUAUACAACAAUUAUUAACUACGCAUAACGGCAGUUUACCGUUGCCUAGUUUGUCAAAUUGUUAUGAGGCUGAAUUUAAAGAAAAAUUACAAGUAGUUGAAAAUGGGGUACCCUUAGAACAUCUAGUAUCUUGUUUAUCAUGUGUUGAAUUAAAACAAGGUAUCGGUAGCGUAAAAUAUCUUAUUUGGGCAGAAAAUAAAUCUCAUGAAAAUAAACAUGAUGAGAAUAAAUGUGUAAGUUCUCCGCUUGCAAAUCAAUUAGCACUUUUCAGUCGUGAAUUAGUCGAUCUUUUAAAAACUGCUCCACACUGCCAAUUACCAUUUCAUCGAUUUAUACCUACAUAUCAUCAUCAUUUUGGAAGACAAUGUAGAGUUGCUGAUUAUGGAUUCACAAAACUAAUUGAUCUUUUAGAAGCGCUUACUCAUACUGUACAAGUAAUGGGUGAAGGAAAUAAUCGCGUUAUCACAUUAUCCCAUCGUGCUCAAGUACGUCGUUUCACAUCUGAUCUGCUAAGAGUUUUAAAAUCUAAAGCUAGUAAACAAGUAGCACUUUCAGAAUUUCCAAGCGUUUAUGCUAGAGUAAUAGCUAAGCCUUGGGAUAUUGUGGAUUAUGGAGUAUGCGAUAUCGAAGAUAUUCUCAAUGAAAUACCAAAAAAUACUAUUGUUGUCACUGUAAUUAAUGGAGGAGAUAAAAUGAUAGCUAUUCCUAAACGAGAACAAACUGAAGAAGAAAUAAAACGAACAAAACGAUUUGCUAUAGAGGUUAUCGAAUUAUUACGACAUGCACCUCAAUGUAGAAUGCAAUUUAAUAAAUUUGUACCAUCAUAUCAUCAUCACUUUGGUCAUCAGUGUCGGAUAUCAGAUUAUGGUUUUACAAAAUUAAUUGAAUUAUUUGAAGCUAUACCAGACAUAGUUAAAAUAGAAGAUGAUGGUUCUGGAGAAAGACAAAUUUCAUUGACAGAGAAGGAAGGUCUUCGUGUACUUUCUAAACAAAUAUCUAAAUUAAUUACUCGAUCGGGAGGUUGUCUUAGCGUUUCAAACAUUGCACAAAAUUUUUUACAUGAAUUUGGUUAUGCGAUAAAACCAGAAUUAUUUGGAUGUACUUCUAUAUUGCAACUUAUGCAGAAACUCGGGGAUACUGUAAAGAUUGUAUAUUUACCAAGUAAACUUGUAGUUAUGAUGAUAGAUAAAUCUCACUUGCAGCAAUUAACUUUACAAUGUCGUCGAUUAUUGAUUGAUAAACCACAGCAUAGAAUGCCAAUUAAAGAGUUCCAACAAUUAUACACUCAAUACUACUUAAAAUCGUGUAAUAUAGACGAACUAAAACAAAAUUUAUGUAAUGUAGUUCAAUUUAUAACAAUUGAUGAUGAACAAUUUGUAGAACUUACUCCAUUACAUUGUUUCGCAUGUAAUUUAUGUCGCGUAAUGAUGAAUUAUGGUGGAGCGUUAAAACUUUCACAAUUCGAGACAGCAUAUUUGUCUACUAUAGGUUCUGCUUGUAAGCCUGUAGAUUAUGGAUUUCCAACAACAUUUGCACUUUUACAAGCAUUACCUUGUACAGUAACAAUAAAAUUAUCACGUCGAAAAAAAAAUAUUAUAUAUUUGAAUAAAAAAAUUGCUGUUGUCGAUAUGGCAUUACCAUCAACAUGUGCAUCAGCAUCAUCAUACUGUGAUACUGAUUCUAGUAAUGAAUCCUUUGAAAGUGAUUCAUCUUCUCACGUUAAUAUUUCAAAUAAUUCGAAUACAUUAGAACAUGCAAAGUGGACAGAACAAACUGUUGAUAGUCAAAAUUUCUGGAAGCAAACAGAAAAGAAUAACGUAUGGUCUGAAGAAUCUAAUAAAUCUUGGAAAACAUCAAGUUCGGACGACCGAUCGCUUAAUUGGCCAUUGCGAGAAAGUGGAAGCGAAAGUUUUUACAAAAGCUUAAUGCAAACGCCAAUUAUACCAUGUGAUUUUCCUGCACCUCCUAAACCAGAUUCUCCUCCUGAGAAAGAUUUAAACAAAAAUCAAUGCGAAUCGUUAGUUUGCAUGACACCAACAAAAUUUAUAUAUCCACGUACUCCUAACGUACAGAUUCCUCCAUUGACUUUACAUCCUUCUUGGCAUCAAAUCACAUCCGAUGGUAGUAAUUUACUAUCGCCAAUGAAAACUUUAUUAACUGCUUCAGAGAAUCCUUUAAAUCCAUGUACUUCACCUUUCUUUUCUUCUAAGCAUAAUUUAGUUGUUGCUCCUCAUCCUUCUGAAUUGCCACUUCCUUCUUUAUCAUUAACUCCUAAAAAAAACAUGUCUUCGGAUGCUAUUGCCGAAAAUUCUAUAAAUAAAGAAGAAAACACUGUCAAUAAUCUCAUAGAAGAUAUGAGUCUCAAAAAUAAUGAAAGUGAUAAUAAUAAUGCAAAAACUAAUAGUAACAAAGAAAAAUAUAGUACUCCUACAAAACAAUUAUUUACCAGCAAACGUCGUUUAGCUGCUCAAUUUAAUCAACCUAUUGAAUCAUAAAUUCAGUAAGAGAAUAAAGAAUGUGUUUGAAUACAAUAUGAAAAUAAGAAAUUUGGUAUCUAAACACAUUUCACAAUCAUAUGAUGUGUUAACAGAGUUAAUAAGAAGAAGAAUGUAUUAGCAUCUCGGUAGGCUGUUAAACACUGGGUUCAAAUAUCUAUAUGCCAUUUUCAAAAUAAUGAGGCAUGAGGCUAAAUUUUCAUAUUUAGAGGCAAUAUCUAUAUACUAAGUACCUAUAAUUUUCGAUUUAAAAAUUGUGAAUAACUGUGAAGCGUUUAUACCGAGAGAUCUAUAUUGAUUGUAUUGCGUGUCAAAUUCAUGUAGCAUUUUUCAUACUGUGAUAUAGAAUAGGAAAAAAAAAGAAAAUUAAUGCAUAA
rnacentral:misc_RNA from 1 species